rnacentral:rRNA from 1 species
UGGCGGUCUUAGCGCGGUGGUCCCACCUGACCCCAUGCCGAACUCAGAAGUGAAACGCCGUAGCGCCGAUGGUAGUGUGGGGUCUCCCCAUGCGAGAGUAGGGAACUGCCA